CACUUUUCCCUUUAAUUUUGUCUCUUUUCCCAUUUUCAUCCCAAAUUCUCAAUCACUUUUCUGGGAGCAAUCCUUGAAUGAAUUGAAUUUUGAAGGUGGAAUCCAGAUUUUGGCCAUGUUUAAGGUUAGGGUUGGUUAUGUGCCAUCACAAAUAUCUAAAAUUUCCACUCUGAAUAAUUUUAGGAUCUCUCAGGGACAAGGUUGGCCUUUGAGGGAAAACAAUUCUGCAAACAACUUUAUUUAACCUUAACCUUUUCCUCCCAACACCUACUGCUAUAGUGAAACACUUUUAAUGUUGAAUAGUAAAUUAAUAGCAAUACCAAAUCCAGCACACCCUGUACAGGUGUAUCUGAUCGCAAUCUUAGAAAACUUUUUCUAAUAUUUUUAUAGAAUUAGCCUUCCUUUCAUUAAUAUCACUAAAAUUACUUUUAAGGAGUCACUGCUUUUCUGGCCUGCUACUUUGUAAGCAAACCCAGCAAAGGUACAACAGCCAUCAAGAGCAGCAUUCAAAAAAACGCUUACAUACUGCACAUUUUGAAGCAGCACCUUCAUCUCUGCCUGCCGCUCCCCUGCUCUGCUCCUCGAGCACUGCGCCCGCGGAGGCCGAGGCUGCGUCCCGAGUGUGGAGCGCCGGCGCCCGCCCCGAACUCCAACUCCCAGCAGGCAGAGGGGCGCUCGGCCCCGGAAGGGGAUGGAGCCGUUCGUCCCGCGGCCGUUGCAGCGGAGAGCUGGGGCUCGCGCCGGGCCGAAAGGGCGAUAAGCCAUGCCUGUUUCAGCUGAUGAAACUGUGGGGAACCUAGCUGUGAGGGAUACAGUCCCAACUCCAGCUGGAAUUGAAGGAUUACAAGAAAUAUCAUCUACACAGAAUGUAAAAGCUCGACAGGUCAUAUCACGAAUCAGUCGAGAGGAGCUGGAAGACAGAUUUCUUCAUCUACGUGAUGACCACAUCCUACUCAAACAGUAUGCAAAUAAGCAAGAGGAGAAAAUUAAAAGAAUGACCACCAAGUUAAUACGGCUUGUUAAUGACAAAAGAAAAUGUGACCAGGCUGGCUGUGGACCCAAGCGGCUGGGUCAGGCUCUGGAGAUGGAAGAAAUGAUUGAGCAUUUGCGAGAAAGAGUUUGUGAGCUUGAGAAACAAAAUGAGAGCCUCCGCAACAAACUCAUUUCAACUAAACAGCAGCUCCAGAUUCAAGGCCAUAGACCUUGUCCAUACAGCUCCAUUCAGUCUCGUGUGAACACUGGUCUCAAAAAAGAGAGUGAGGCUGCUGGCAUGCCAGAGCAGACCAAGAAGGGAAUGAGAUUUCAGAGUUUAGAAGGGAGAUUGUCUGACCUUGUGCUCCCCAGAUAUGGACAGAGUCUGCUCAAGGAUUCAAGGGCUGAGAUAAGAAAUUUGGAGACUGUCAUUGAGUCCCAAAGGAAACAAAUUGAGGAACUAGACCAUGCCAGAGAGAUUCUUGCGAGUCAGCUCAGAAGGAGAGAAAAGGAGAUUGAAGAAUCCCUCCUACGGCUGAAAGAGCAGGGUACAGCAAGCCAAAGGCUAAACAUUCAGGACAAUGUGGAAAUGAUCAAGGUCCGUAAACAGCUGGCUGAGAAAAGCAAUGCCCUUUCAGCAAUGGAAGGAAAAUUUCUCCAGCUUCAAGAGAAUCUAAAGAACUUGAAGACCAACCAUGAUGCUUUAUUAGCAAAAGGUGGCGAACUGAAUGUUCACCUUAAAGAGGAGCGAUUAAAAUGCUUUCAUCUUCAAAAAGAAUUGCAGUCAGUAACUAUUUCAAACAGAAGGACAGAAGAGUUACAGGAAAGAAUAAAUUAUCUAGAAAAAGAGAAUGAACUCUUGAAGGAAAACUAUGAUAAGCUGCAUAACAGUAUCUUCAGUCUGCCCCAUGAACAGCAAUGGAAAUCAAAGGAACAGCAACUGAAACUGCAAAUUGCUAAACUAGAGACAGCUAUCAAAACUGAUUUAGCAGACAAAAAUGAAAUCCUUGACAAGAUCAAAGUAGAAAGAGAUCAAAAGGAAAAGCUUAUGCAAGACAACAAAGACCUGCAGUUACGCUACCUGGAACAAAAGCAGCAAGUAGAUGAUCUGAAAAAUCAAGUGAAGUUUUUGACCAAGUUUCAGGGAAGUGAUGUUGGUGUGGCAGAACUCAGUGAAAACCUCUUGCUUAUAAAGGACCAAAAGCAACAGAAUAACGUGGACCUUCUGUUCUUGGAAAAAGUGGAAGAUGAUAUCCAUAAAGAUACAGAGUACUCCAUGCAGGAGCUGCAGUUAACACACGCGGAAACAGUGCAAGAACUUGAAAAGACAAGGAAUUUGUUACUUGUACAGCACAAAAUUAGCAAAGAUUACCAGACUGAGGUAGAAACAAUGACAAGAAAGAUGGAAAGUCAACAGAAAGACUAUGAGUUAAAACUGGAACAGUAUACCCAUCUUCUUGAUAUUAGAGCUGCACGUAUCAGAAAACUAGAAGCCCAACUAAGAGACGUUGUCUAUGAUACAAAACCACUUAAGUCCAGACCAGAAGUAUUGCCAAGUGAUCCAGUGGAUGGAUUUGUUGAAACUGUUAAUUUAGAAAGAGGAGAGAACCUUUUUGAAAUUCAUAUCAGCAAAGUGAUCUUCUCUUCUGAAGCUAUGCACACUUUUGGUGACUUGGAGCCUGCAACCUUUUGUAGUUACGCAUUCUACGACUUUGAACUUCAGAUAACCCCAGUAGUUUAUGGGAACGCCCCAUUAUAUGACUUCACUUCUCAGUUUCUUGUGCAGUCUGAUGACAGCUUCUUCCACUAUAUACAGGAAAACAGCGUCACACUUGAGGUUCAUCGUGCGUAUGGCAUAGAUUAUGAAACAAUUGCUUCAUGUCAACUUAAGUUCCAGGAAAUUUUGGAAAAUGAUGGCAAGAUCUACUACACAGCAAAUUUAGUUGGGAAAACAGGACACAUUCAAAAUUAUGGUACCAUAGAAUACUGGAUCAGGUUACAAGUUCCUAUGGACCAAGCAAUUAUUCCCUACAAACAGAGGUCAAAGGCUCUGGGAUAUAUAAUGCCCAGUUUUAGAGAGCAUGAACAACCAUCCAAGACACCAACACUCAAAAUGAAGCAGCGUGCAGCUCAAGCACACAAGAGAGUCUCUUUUCUGGAUCUUAGUACGAUACAGAUGUCACAUGUGGUACAGGAGGCUAAACAGGUGUCAGGUGACAAAGCGAAGGAGAUGGCCGAAGAAAUUCAGCAGGAAAAAGAGCUCUCUCAUCUGUCAGAGGAGCAGUUGGCUGACCAAACAUUGAUUACUUCUAGAGAUGAAACAGAAAUAAUUGAAGAAUUGCAACCAGAAGAUCAAGAUAAUCAAGAUGAUGCUGUUGAAUCAAUAAAAACUGACAGUGAUGACUGUAUCAUUUCAAGUCCGGUAUCCACAAAUAUUAAACAGCUGAGUCAGAGUGUACAUGGUAAUUAUUUGAAAGUACUUCUCAAAGAAAUUGCAUGUCUUCAGCUCAGUAGGUAUGUAGAAACGCUGUCACUUAUAUGUUCUUCAGAAAGAUACAGAAGGAAGUUGAAAAAAUCUGGAUUAAAAUUACAUCACUCUGUCUUACUGAGUCACGAAUUACAGCCGAUGAAACAAUACAGCAACUGUUUGUAGAAUGCAGAUUAAACAAUUUCCUUGCAGAGGAGACCCCACUGUCUCUUCCAAAACCAACAGGUGGUCAGAGGAUUCACUAUAACUAUAGCACUGUGAUAAAUGUUGAUAAGGAAGAUAAUCAUGCAGAAAGAGAGUAUCUCAAGUCAAUUCUUCUAAAGCCAGAUCUACCUGCUGACAGCCUAAAAUUUACAGUGGUCAGUGACCCCCCAGAAGAUGAACAGGAUCUUGAAUGUGAGGAUAUUGGGAUUGCUUAUGUCAGUUUAAAAGAGAUAUUUCAGAAGCAAAGAGAUAUCAUUGAGCAAGAUAUUGAUGUUUUUGAUUCACAAGAUGCCAGUGCAGUAAUUGGAAAGCUCACAGUGACAGUGGAAGCCCUCAAUGCACUGCGUUCAGUCAAUGAAGAAUGCAAAAAUUAUUAGGAGGCAGGAAAGGAACAUUUGCCUAUGGAAGUUCUUGCUCCCAGUGUAAAGAUUCACUUGGUGGUUCCUUAAAAAUGAGAUCUUUGUCAUUCUUAGGGUUAAUGGAUUUAAUGUAAAAUGUACAUGAAAAAGA